rnacentral:rRNA from 1 species
UUGAAGAGUUUGAUCAUGGCUCAGAUUGAACGCUGGCGGCAGGCCUAACACAUGCAAGUCGAGCGGUAGCACAGAGAGCUUGCUCUCGGGUGACGAGCGGCGGACGGGUGAGUAAUGUCUGGGAAACUGCCUGAUGGAGGGGGAUAACUACUGGAAACGGUAGCUAAUACCGCAUAACGUCGCAAGACCAAAGUGGGGGACCUUCGGGCCUCAUGCCAUCAGAUGUGCCCAGAUGGGAUUAGCUAGUAGGUGGGGUAACGGCUCACCUAGGCGACGAUCCCUAGCUGGUCUGAGAGGAUGACCAGCCACACUGGAACUGAGACACGGUCCAGACUCCUACGGGAGGCAGCAGUGGGGAAUAUUGCACAAUGGGCGCAAGCCUGAUGCAGCCAUGCCGCGUGUGUGAAGAAGGCCUUCGGGUUGUAAAGCACUUUCAGCGGGGAGGAAGGCGGUGAGGUUAAUAACCUCAUCGAUUGACGUUACCCGCAGAAGAAGCACCGGCUAACUCCGUGCCAGCAGCCGCGGUAAUACGGAGGGUGCAAGCGUUAAUCGGAAUUACUGGGCGUAAAGCGCACGCAGGCGGUCUGUCAAGUCGGAUGUGAAAUCCCCGGGCUCAACCUGGGAACUGCAUUCGAAACUGGCAGGCUAGAGUCUUGUAGAGGGGGGUAGAAUUCCAGGUGUAGCGGUGAAAUGCGUAGAGAUCUGGAGGAAUACCGGUGGCGAAGGCGGCCCCCUGGACAAAGACUGACGCUCAGGUGCGAAAGCGUGGGGAGCAAACAGGAUUAGAUACCCUGGUAGUCCACGCUGUAAACGAUGUCGAUUUGGAGGUUGUGCCCUUGAGGCGUGGCUUCCGGAGCUAACGCGUUAAAUCGACCGCCUGGGGAGUACGGCCGCAAGGUUAAAACUCAAAUGAAUUGACGGGGGCCCGCACAAGCGGUGGAGCAUGUGGUUUAAUUCGAUGCAACGCGAAGAACCUUACCUGGUCUUGACAUCCACAGAACUUAGCAGAGAUGCUUUGGUGCCUUCGGGAACUGUGAGACAGGUGCUGCAUGGCUGUCGUCAGCUCGUGUUGUGAAAUGUUGGGUUAAGUCCCGCAACGAGCGCAACCCUUAUCCUUUGUUGCCAGCGGUUAGGCCGGGAACUCAAAGGAGACUGCCAGUGAUAAACUGGAGGAAGGUGGGGAUGACGUCAAGUCAUCAUGGCCCUUACGACCAGGGCUACACACGUGCUACAAUGGCAUAUACAAAGAGAAGCGACCUCGCGAGAGCAAGCGGACCUCAUAAAGUAUGUCGUAGUCCGGAUUGGAGUCUGCAACUCGACUCCAUGAAGUCGGAAUCGCUAGUAAUCGUAGAUCAGAAUGCUACGGUGAAUACGUUCCCGGGCCUUGUACACACCGCCCGUCACACCAUGGGAGUGGGUUGCAAAAGAAGUAGGUAGCUUAACCUUCGGGAGGGCGCUUACCACUUUGUGAUUCAUGACUGGGGUGAAGUCGUAACAAGGUAACCGUAGGGGAACCUGCGGUUGGAUCACCUCCUU